rnacentral:miRNA from 1 species
AGUACAACAGCUUCUUGUCACA